rnacentral:tRNA from 2 species
GGGUCAGUAGCUCAGUCGGUAGAGCAGUUGCCUCUUAAGCAAUUGGUCCCGGGUUCGAGCCCCGGCUGGCCCACCA